GGGGACGACCGGAAUUGACAGCUUGAGAGGUCGCGUGUAAGCAUGCCGGGAGUUGAUGGUAUUUCCCGCCCAAACAAGCUAUCAAAACAAUAACUGGCGAAUAUAACUACGCCAUGGCUGCCUAAUCCGGAGGAUUAAGCAAUAGCCAUCAUCUCCCCGGCCUAUGCGCUGCUGGCUGGAUCAGGAGGUGUCGAACCGCAGCGCUGGUUGGUAUAAUGGUAUUGAAAACCAACGAGAUCCAAGUACCUACGGCAACUGGUAGGCCUGACGUGAGCCAGCCUUUUGCCCGACAAUUCAAUCACGGAUAAGCAUGUAGAAAGCCCGUCGGGUUCCUUGACUGGACGAGGGUUCAAAUCCCUCCGUCUCCACCC
rnacentral:tmRNA from 1 species